AAAAAAAAAAAAAAACUCUUUGAAUUUUGAAUUUUGAUUGCAAAUAAAAAUUGAAAACUGAAAAUUGAAAAUUUGAAUUUGAAUUUUAUUUUAUGAAUAAAAGAUUUAAAUUUAUCUAAUAAUUUGAUAAAUUUAAUAAAAAAACCCAUUCAUAUUUUAAUUUUUGUAUUUUUUUUAUUUUAAAAAUAAAUAUUAAAAUUAUACGUGAAUUGUAGUUUAAUAUGUAAUUAUAUAAAUAGAUUUUAAUUUUGUGUAAUUUUACAUGAAAUUUUUAUUUGAUUCAAUCAUUAUAAAUUAUUAACACAAUUAUUCAUAUAACAUUAUUUUAUAUUUAUAUAUUGAUACAUAAAAAAAUUAUAUUUAUCCAAUAUAAAAAUAAAUUUAUGUAUUUAUUUCUUUAAUAUGCAUGAUUAAAUCAAAAUUAAAAUUUCAAGUAUACAUUUGAACCACAAUUAGAGAUUCACGUGUAUAAUUGUACAAAAUUAAAGUUUAUGUAUAUAAUUACACAUUAAAUCAAAAUAUCAUGUAUAAUUUUGAGAUUUAUCCCUUUGAAGGAUUGAAGGAUCCUUUACUUGUUUUUCUUUUAUAAAAAAUAAUAAACAUUACAUUUAUUUGUUAGUUUACAUAAUUUAUCUAUUUAAUGUAAUAAAAGUUUAUAUAUCAUGAAUUGUCAAAAUAGUUAUUUACGUUAGUGUAAAAUUAAUAUAAUUUUUAAUAUUUUUAACUUUCUAUUAUUGAUAUUUUAACAAUUCAAUGUUAAAUUUAUCAAUAUAAUUUUACUUAUUAUACAAUUAAGGUUUUGAAUCGAUAUCUAUAUUAUAUCAAUUUAAAAUAUUGUCCAUAUUAAUAUAUAUUUAAUGAUUGAAAGUUUUUUAUAUAAAAUAAUUAAUUAAAAAGAAAUUAUUUACAUACUAUAAAUUUAGAUUUUAAAAUUAAAUUGAUUUUAUUGAAAUUAUUAUAAUUUUUAAAAAGAUUUUUAACUGAAAUAUAUAUUAGAUUGAAUAAAAUUUUAUGGCUGUAAUUCUAUAAUUUCCAUGAGAGUGAGGAGUGGGAAAAAAAGGCUAUGGUUGGACCACUCCUUUGCAUAGCCAAAAAUCAUUUUUCUUUUUCAACAAUUUUCGUUUACAUUUACUUUUUGGUACUACAAUUUUAGACAACUUUGGCCAAAGUGGUUUCUUACUUUCCUUCACCUAAACAAGAUUCGUACAAUUUUGGAGUAAAAGAAAGAAAAAGAAACAACAUUAAUUUGCCUUUUUUUAUUUUUCAAAUAUUUUUUAAUAAAGUAAACAACUUUUUUUCCUUAAAUAUUAAGAACUGAAAUUCUGGAAUUUAUUUAUAUGCAAAUUUCACCAUAAAUAUCGUGAUAUUUUAUAAUAAAAAAUUCUUUUUUCACCCAUGAUUUUCGUUUUAUUUUCCUUUUUUACUUAUUUAAACUAUUCCAUCAUUCAUCUUUUACUGCUCAAUUAAAAAUGCUAAAGAUUAAAAAAAAAUUUGAUUUGUCACCCUCCUAUUAAAAAAAAAUAAGAAUGAUAUAGAAUCACAGUUUUAUAUAAUUCCUUAUCCUUCUCUUUUAAUAGAGUUGUUUGUAUAAAUAUAUCUAUAAUUCAUAAAAAUUAACAUAAAUAAACAGAAUGAAUUUUCCAUCAAUUAAUUUAAACAACUCCACCUGUCAUGCUAUUUGUAAGAUUUUUUUUUUCUAUUUAAUGGAAGAGAAAUAUUUUUAAAAUAUAAUUUUUUUCAAAAAAAAUAAAAUAAAAUUGACAUUGAAAAGGAAUGAGGCAACAAGGGAAUAACUUUACCAACGUUUAAUUAUCCUUUGAAUAGAUACGUUGCUUAAUAUGUUAAUAUAAGCAGAGAUAGCAUGGUUGCCCCAAAUUCCAAAAGUUUGAUGUACGCCUGCCCAAUCAGCUGUGCCUUGUUAUAAUUCACAAUAACUAGCCAUGUUCAUUCAUAUAUAUUAGUUAUAUAAUAAAUUACAUUUUUUAUUUUAUUAUUGUUUACUUAAAUUUAGUCAUUAUCCUUUUAAAAAUAUUCAAAUCACAUCCUUUUUAUGUAAAUGUUAAUUAAAAUAGUAAUUUUUUAACAAUGUUGGUGUGGCAACUCCCGUGUAGACCUGAUGUAAAAAUUUAGGCAUGUUUUCUAGGCUCGACCUAACCCGAAAAAUAGAUCUAAAGUUUUUUUCAAGUUCAAUUCUGCCUGCCCGUAUUAAAAUUUUUUUUAUACAGAAACAAAUUUUAAAAAUAUAAUACAUCAAAUACACUAAAAAUAUUAAAAUAAAUAUUUCCCAACAAAUUGAAAAUACAUUAAAAAAUAACACUAAGAUAGUUGCAACUUAACAAACAAAUGCCUCUAAAAUAGUAGCAAAAUUAACAAUAAAAUAAAAGUUAUACAAUAUCCAAAAAAAUAACAACAAAAUAGUAGUAAUAGAAUAACAAAAUGAUAGUAAAACAACAGUAAACAACAUCAAGAAAGGAGGGAAAUUUUUUUUAGUCAAAUUCGGGUCAAGCUCAAGUCAAAAAAUUAUUACCCAAGGAAGCGAGACUUAUUUUUUGUCCUAACCCAUUUUUUGGGCUGUAUUUUUAUCAAAAUCCUCUUACUUUUCGAGUAAGCCUUCGAGCUAGGACAGAUAGUCUAGCCCAUGAUUAAUUCUAUUCGCGUGACACUCCACAUCUAUUAAUAUUAUAUGUCAUGUCAAUAAAUAAUUUAAAUUUUAUAAAAAUAUUUAAAAAUAAAAAAUUCAAAAUCUAAAAAAUAAUAAAAUAAAAAUAAAGUAAAUAUGAAUUGUAAUGCAAAUUAUAAUAUUUAAAAAUUUAAUAUUUUUAUUAAAAAUAAUUUUACUUUUUAAAGAAAAUUAAUGAUUAAAUUCAAUAAUUUUAAAAAGUUGAAGAUAAACUUUAACUGAAAAAGGAAAUAAAUUAUAUUAAUAUAAUCGUAAAAAAUAUUGUUUUUAGGCACUAAGAAAAUAGUGCCACAUCAUUAAAUUUUAAAGAUAACAAAUUAUUAUUAUACACUCAUUUAUAUCUAAUAUCUUUUUCAACUUCAUUUAACUUUAAUUAAAUUACUUAAAAUAAUUAAUUUUUUAAAUUAUAAACAAACAUCUUUUCUUCUUUUACAAAUUUUAAUCAUUUUAUUUUUUUUCAAUAAGUUAAUCUCUUUUUUUGCAACUAAUUUUAAAAAAGCUAGUAAUUUUUGUGUAAUUUUUCCAUGUCAUUGACACAUAAUUUUAGUAAUUAUUUUAUCAUAAACCCCAAACUUAGAACAUUAGAUCUUGAACUCAAACCCUAAAUUUUAAACCUUGAACCUUGAUAUUUAGAGUAAGGGUUCAGGAUUUAAGGUUCAAGGUUCGGGUUUGGGUUUAAGGUUAUGAAUUUGGGGUUUGAGAUUUGGGUUUAAUGGUUUAGGGUUACAAGUUAUGAGUUUAGAUUUAGGUUUAAGAUUCAAGGGUUCGAGCUUACGUGUUUGGUGUUCAAGUUUAGGAUUUUAGGUUUAAGGUUUUGGGUUCAUGGUUUAAAAUUCUAGAUUUAGGGUUCAUGAUUUUGGGUUUGGGGUUGAGAGUAAAAAAAUUACCAAAACUAUGUGUUAAUCACAUGAAAAAUAUUGUUGAAAUGUUAUUAAAUAAUUCGAAAUGGACCAUGAAUAAUAUAAUAGGAAGAGUUUAUAAAAUAAUUUUUUUAAGGAUGAGUGUUUAAUAAUAAUUUUAUAUCUUUAAGAUUUGAUGAUAUAACAAAAUUUUAUUAAUAUUUAAAAAUAUUAAUUUUUAGCAUCAUCCUAAUAUAAAUUAUUUUAAAAAAAUAAACAUAAGAAGGUAAACAUUUAAAGCUAAAUAUUCAUUUAAAGUAUGGUUGGAACUUGGAAGUAGAGGAUUGUGUUAAGUGUUUGUAGGAUGCAUGCCAACCGGUGAUAUGAAAGGAUUCCAGAUGCUUCCAAGUUACAACCCACCUCUAAAUGUAAAAUAAAAAUCCACUUCCCAUAAAAAUACCAAAAUGGUGGGGUUUCUUUUCUUAAAGAAAAAAAAAAUGAAAGUGGUGAAAUUUAUAUCCUGUUAUGAUGGGUUGUAAUCAUAGUAGCCUUCAAUUUUGAAAUUUUGUAAAUGCUUUUUUUUUAAAAAAAUUACCAUAAAAGAUUUUUUUUACUAAAAGUUAAAUUAUAUUUUUUUUAUUUUAUUUAAAAAAUAAGUAAAUUAUAUUUUAAAUUAAGUAAUAAAUUAUUUUUUAUAAAAAAAUUUAUACACAUUUACUAUUAAAAUUUAAUUUAUAUAUAUUAGAAUGAGGUACAUAUAACACAUACGUUAGGCGUUAAUGUCUAAUUAUUCUGUCAAUCACGUUAAUUUUUUAAUUUAAUAUACAAAAAUUAAUUCUUUUAUUUUUUAAUAAAAAGAAUAAAAUUCAAUUUGUUAUAAUUUUGGUUGGAAGAUAGUGUUAAUAAGCCUCAAUUCAUCCACGAAUUUAGCUUUGUUGGGUAGUGGUGAGUAAUGGGUAAGACUUUUAGUUCAGGUAUAGGGCGUUAGUUCAUAAUGCAUUAAUUUAUAUUUCCAAAAUUGCUUAUUCCACACUUCUAUUAAUAAUUAUUCCAAAAUUCAAUAAUUUAAUUAAAGAAAUCAAUGGAUCGAUUCUAGAUUGAACUAGAAGACUUGAGUUAAUGGCUCAAUGCCAAUAUUUUAUUCCUGUACCAAUAUUAAACGUUUCAUUUUCUAACUAGUUUCUUUAUGCACAUUUCUUUAGUUUCUUUGACUUCAACUUCCUAGUUUGACUGAUUAUGGACCAUCGUUUACACGUGAUUACUAUAUUUAAAUAUAUAAAAUUUAUUUCCCUCAAAAAAAAAAAAACAAAAAAAACUCACUAGAUUAUAUCCCACUCACUGUGUGAGUGAAAAAAAUAUGUAAUAUAUUCAUAAAAAUUUGAUAUAAAAUUUUUAUAUGAUUUUAAUUAAAAUGGUAAAAUAAAAUUGAUGAUGGUUGGGUUUUAAUCUUCGAGUCUCAUCAAUAGUAUAUAUUUUUAAAGAUUUAACAAGAAAUUAUUUUGUAAAAGUUGAUUUUUUGUUAGUUUAUAAUUAAAUUAAAAUCUGAUUAAAAAGUGAUAUUAACUUAAUAAAAAAUUUCAUUAUAAAUAGAUUAAAAAAAAACCUUGAUAAAACUACAAAAAGGUCUUGAGGAAUCAAUCAAAUAUGUGUGGAAGAAAGAAAAUUAAGGGAAAAAUAUUUUUGAGGAAUCAAUCACUUUUCUUAAGCCUUUAAUUUUACUUCUAAAAUACAAUAAAUCAUAAAAAAAAAACAGAACAGAGUAGUAAAAAUAAUACUUUAAAAUAUGUGUCUCCUGGUACAAAUUAUGUUUCUAAUAUAUAUUGUAUGGCACAAAGUGUGUUGUCAUAACACUUUUUCAAUAUAUUUAUACAUAUAUUAUGGCACAAAUUAUGUUUCUUAUACAAACUUAAUGGCAAAAGGUGUGUUGUGUUAUUCCAAUAUAUUUGUACUUAUUUUAUGACACAAGGUAAAGUGAAACAUUUUAGAAAAGUCAUGUUGGAAUUAUAUAAAACCAAUAGGUAAACUAAUUUACUUAGUGGGUUAAGUAUCUAAGUCAAUUAUUUAGGUUAUACAAAUUUUGUUAUUAAAAUUUCAUAUACCAUGUAUUUCUUAACAAUAGGAAAUUACUAAUCAUGUAAACUAUUAAUAGAUAAUAAUUUUUUUUAAAGAAGUAACAAAUAAUAAGUUCGUAAUGAACUAAUUGAAAUUUUAAUCUUUUUCUAUUUUAUAUAAGUUGAAAUGAGUUAGUUGAAUUUUUAAUUUAUUGGAGGUUAUUUGGGUAAGACAGAGAAGUGGUAAAGAUGUGCGAUUCAUCUUGUUUGAUAUAAAACGAAUAACCAUCAAACAAUAUGGUCAGAGUUGAGAGUAAGAAAGAAGAAAGGAAUAAGAAGGAAUGGGGUGAGCAGCCUUAAGAAGGAAUUCCUUGCUAUCUAGUUUUUACAGUUCUUAUAUACCUUUAGUCCCUUAUCCCUAGACACCACAUGACUAAUUGCCAUUCGCGUGUCAAGUGACCAAGUGGUAUGAUUGUACAUGGCUAAGUAAAAUUGAUUUACCCUGUGUCAUCUCAAAUGGGAUGUUGUGACAAGAAUUUAAUGUGGCGAUUAUAAGGGCUCACGCAAUUGUUGGCCCGAGGAGUCUCCCCUGAGGAGCUUGAGGGGUUUGUUUGAGCGGUUCUUCCAAGGAGAUUGUCCGCACCGUUUAUAGGCUUACUGCUUGGUCCAAACAAUCAGGUAUAACAUAAUCAAAUUCUAUUGUGUCAUGAGGGAAAAUACAGGUUCUUAAUAUACUAUAUUCAAGCCAGCUUUGUCCGAGUAUUAUUUGCUAUUUUCAACUCGUUAUACUACACCAAUUUCAAGCUGAAAUAUAUGAUAUGAUCGAAUGAUCAUUCAAUAAGGUUAUCAAAGGAUUCAGGAUAAACGGUAGGUACGAAGAUAUAAAUAAACUUAAAUCUAAAUUUUAUACAGCCUCCCAUCCAUCCCUUGUAUUAUUUCUCAAAGAUCUCCAUGUUAUUUGCAGGCCAACAAGCUUAUGUCGAUAAUCCAAGUCAAAAUAUCUGCAUUUACAGAUGCAAUUAAUCCCCCAUAUGCCUGCAUUUCAUGUAUCAUUCAAUAAUUGAAGGUGCCAGGGUGUUAGGGAAGUUGUGCUGACCUUCCUAGGUGCAGUGCCAACUCAAGUUCAAUUAUUGUGCUAUCAGCAGAAGGCUAGACGACAUAUACCCAUGGCAGCCCAUGGCCCCCAAGGAAUGGCUGUCUUAGCUCCUUUGACAAGAAAGCAAAUAGAGGGAAUGAAAGUUAGGAAACUUAUUGCUAACAAUUUAUUAAUAAACUACAUCUGGUAAUAUGCAAAUACAUGAAAACCAAUCACUUCGACCACCCGCAUGCUUGGCACACCUACAUGUUAUGUUUACCCACACUUCCCUUUUUCCCCCCUUUUGUCCUGAAGGAACAUAUUCAUGCAUUGACACAUUUGUAUUACACUCCCGAGUUAGUGUAACAAACAUGCAUGGAUGUCUUGUGUAACAAAAUACAUUUGGUCAGAGGCAAUGCAUGUGCACAGAAGGUUAUUUUAUUAUCUAAUUAGUUCUCUAGUUUUUAGUCAAGUUGAGCUAGUGGAUCCUGCAUGGUCCUCCACAUCCACAGAUGAUAUAUGAAGAUAUGAAGAGACCAGGUGACGGCAGUUUAUUAGAAAUUCAUCCAAAAGGGGAUAAUUAAUACCGAAGACAUCUACAUAUGCCAUUUUUUAAUUCAAUUCCGUCAGCAUAAACUGUAUCUCAUCAUGAAAAUAACUUGAAGUAUUCUAUGAAAGAAAACCUUCUGGGUCACUUAAGCAAAAGAAGACAUGGUGUAUAUCUGUCGGCCUGAAACUUUUACUUCAGGCCAUGACCCAAUAAGCUGCAGCAAAUACGCAGCAAAUUUUGUUUUUCAGUCGAGCUCAGGUUCACAAAUUCAAGCAUUAAUCACGAAACAGUUUUAGAUGCCAAACUGCUAUGACGACUACAUCAAUAUCAAAGUAAUCUAAUAUGGAAUAGACAAUCCCAACGGGUUGAUAGAAAUUAAGACAGCUGGUCAACUGAACUCGCUUUAACAGAAAAACUUCUACCACCUUGUCACAAGGACGUUUACUAUAAAGAGGAACUGAUAAACCGGAUUAGCACUGGUCCAAUAUGAAGACAUUUUGCCUAAGAAUCAGGUCAAUGAAUAAUUUUCACUCCUGUUGAUAAUUUAUUUAAUGAAAAGGAAUGACGAUAGCAUUCUAAAUGGACAAAUAAGGGUUCACCUUUGAAAAUCUUAAGCCUGCAACAGUCGGCCAUAUUUUCUAUGAUGAUCUUAUGAUGAAUUUCCACAUGAUAUUAAUCAAUUUUAAACUAGGGCAAAGAUAACAAACUUACUGUGCAUGAUUACUGAAUCGCCUUUUCACCAAUGACACAAUAACAGUAACAUCAUCAAGCUUGCCGCCCCUAUAUCCCACGUAUCCAGCUGCCUGCACUUCAUCUGACAAUGGGCUCCUCACCAAUGAUAACUGACCAACCUCUUGCGCUCUAGUUGCCAAGAGUUCUGCUAUUUCCUGCCCAUUAAAUAAAUGUUGGGGUUACCAUGCACAUAAGACUAUCUUUUCAUGUCACACAUGCACCUUAUGCAUUUUACUACUAUAUUUGGGAAAGGAAAUGGAAAUGGAAAAAAACAGUGAUAAGCACCUGGGGCCUUAAACUCUCUUGCAAUGAUUUGGAGACAAUUGAAACUAUAUCUCGCUCGUAAAGAUUAUCAAAAAGUCCAUCAGUUGCAGUGAUAAUCACAUCUUUUUCAUACAAUUCAACUUUGUAAACCUGAACCAGCAGCCAUGUGUAAAAAGAUUGACCCAUAUUAUUUUACCUUUAUACGAGGAGGAAAUGGGAAAGGGGGAGAAAAGAACUUUUUACCUUCACCUUCUAACAUAAAGGAAACUCAAUAUAUGUUUGAAAAUGAAGAUAUAGGAUCAUAUCAGCUUUCAAAGUGCAGGAGGCAAUUACAAAUAUAUUUUUAGUGCAGGAGGCAAUUACAAAUAUAUUUUUAUCUUUUGUAUGCAAUAAUAAGAUUUUUUAUCUUUUUAGAAAUGGAAUUCAACCAGUAUACCUCUACAAAGUCAGAGGGUUGAUCUCCUCUUGCAAUCUGUACAGGAAAAGCCAACUCAUAAACCAUCGGAGAAGACCUCUUAAACACAGCACCGUUUCUUAUGAUCAUGAAGCCUGAAUCACCAAUAUUUGCCACAUGGAGAGCCUGCAGAUUUAUAAAGGCAUAGCCUUCCAAGUAUGAGUUGUAAAAAGGAACACCAAGUUCAUUCUCAGCCUCUUCUUUUUUGAAUUAUAAUAAAAUCAAGCCAUUAUAUCUAUGAGAAAAGAAAUAUAUUCAUUCCCACAAAGUAGAUUGACUAGCUAAUAAUUAGCAUCAGUCGUCAGUUCAUGCAUAUUUUGACAACAGUAGUUUUACUAAUCAUAAUACACAGAAGAUAAAUUUCAGUCUAAGCAUGAACAUUAUGAACUUUUGGAAAUAUGUUUCUUUAGAUCCAAUAGCAAUAUGAACUACUCUAUUUCAAUCAGACUAGUGGAAUAUGAAGAAUCUUUUUUGUAUAUGAUUAGUAAUAUUCCUACGUCAAGAAAGCAAUCUUUUGGAAAAAUCAUCAUUCAUGCAAAUAAGACUCUCAAUAAGAAUUUGAAAAUGUUUUGUUAACUCAUUAACCUUGUACUUUGCGCAGACAAAAAGUUCAUAGAAAAAAAAUUCAGAAAAGUUGAGCAAUUAAGUUUUCAUCAAAUGACAAGUCUAUUUGUAUAUCAAGUAACCAUUCCUCUAGUGAAGUUAAUUAGGUUUGCUUAAAUUUCUCGACUCAAGGCUUGUUAGUAAAAUCCUAGACUUGUUUGCAAACUGUGAGUCUUUGUUUGGUUAGGAUUAGGUUGUAAGUUAGUUCUAUGAUAUAACGACUAAUUGAAAUUUGCAUAGGAGAAAAGAGUGUCAAGUUGAAGGACAACAUACCUGAUCAUCAAAGUAAGCAACCAAAACCGUAGACGAACCACAAGAUUGAGUAUUUGCUGCAGCUCUAUUAAGGAUCUCAACUGGGUCAGUUAUUGGAACUCCAUUUCUAUCAGACACAAUUCUUUCACAGUUUUCCAUAAGUUCUUUUGCAUAUACUCCAACACUAAUCCCUGAAGGAUAAGAUAGGAAACAAAUAAUUCAGUCCAGACAGUGCAAAACAUACGAUGACAUUUAUUAUGCGUUCCAGUAUGCUGCCAGGGAUUCAACAUAUAUUUAAUGUAAAUUUAAUAUAUUUCCUAGCAACUCUUUCCUGGUUUGCAGUGCAAGGAUAAAAAUGAAACAUAAACUCAUUCCAUACAAAGAAUUGGUCCUGGUGAAAACAAAAAUAAGGAUAAUAAAAAAGAAUAAUACCUUCAAAUGACCACUGACCAACUCCAUCAGCAACACCUAGCCAAUUCUGGCAGGCAAUAAAAUAAGCAUCCUCUCCACCUGCGAAGGCCUGGAAUUAUUACUAUUUGAAUUACUCAAACAGAAUUCUCAAACUCAAGUCAAAUAUACAUCAAAGUGCCCAAGCAACUGAUAUCUUUCAAAAUUAAAAAUUUCUAAGGUAUUAAUUGUUACUUUUACAUCCAAAGUUCAUUAAGCUACUCUCAAUAACGAGAUGCAUUUUUUUGGCAUUAUAUUGAUCUGAAAAUGUUAAAAAGUCAAGCUAGACAAAACCUGACGGUAAAUUUAACAAAGAGUUUUGGUUUAUUUUUAUCCACUUCGACCAUAAUUCCAAAGUUUUCAUGAUUCUGGCAAAUUAAAACAAUUAGUUGAAGAGGUAAAACUGAUUAUGACUAUCCUAAGUACCUUAGUCGGAUUUGGCAACAGAGCAGCACCAGAAUAUAAGAAAAAUCCUGCUGUUGAGAUUUCCUCCCUGUUUGAACACAUUUAGAAAAAAAGUUGAGGAUGUAAGAGAACUUGACAAAAUGUUGAAGGGAGAAAGAUCAACCAAUUAUUUAAAAGAGUAAAUCAUAGAGAACAGCAACAAUAUGGCCAAAAGACAAGCAUAAGUAGAAAAAUUUCAACCUGAACUCAAUGCAAUGAUCUAUAAGAAAUAACUGAUGCAUUGAUCUAUAAGAUAGACAGGAACCUCUUUGUGUAUUCGUUUGACAAUAGAGUAGUUUACCUUUCCAAAGUUCCACCAGACUGUAACUCUACACCUUUAAGCAUUGUCAGCUGUCUGACUUUGUUAUCACUUUGUGCAUCAGCCUCAGUUAUCUCUGCUUGGGAAAUUGAGAAAGCCACACCCUCAUCCAACUACAAACAACAAAUAUACAUAUUACUCCAGGCAAUUUGAUUUGAGAGCACAAAUAAAUUCAGAUCCUCAAUGAGUGAGUUCUUUGCUUGCGAUGAUAAUGCAAUAGGCUUCAAAAUAAAGUAUUAUAUAGACAAAAACCGGUGACAUGCACAAGCAGGCAGCAUUUGACAAUUAGGACGGAGAAACCAUAUGAAGCCCAAUCAAUAUUUUUUAAAGGUAGUUCUGGGUUUCUGGAACUUAAUAAAGCAUAAAACUCUGAAGAAAAUAAAAAUAUGUUACCAACAACUAGUCAUACUCAUGAGAAUUCCACAAUUUUAAAGACGUUUUUAAGACAAUUAAACCCAAAACAUGCCCAAGUCUUGUAUUAUAACUCUAUAUUAGAUAGUUAAAUCCUAAAUUUAUUUUUAUUGCUUUGCUGAUAAUAACAGAACUUCUCUAGCAACUAGACAGCCAGAAUGUUUAGAUAAAGCACAUAUUUUAUAUUUGAAUCUUGGGUUAGUCACACAAAAACAGGAUCCUCACUGUGAUAUUCUUUAGGCCUUAGUCUUAACAGCUUUGAUGGCAUAAAAAAGCAAUAAGGAUUAUUGAUGAUUACUUUCUAUGUAAAAUUAUUUGACCUAGAAGAAGAGGGAAAACCAUUCAAUAUCCCAUCAUCAAUUUUGUUACUAUUUGUAGUAUUACAUUUAUAUAAUUUGACUGGGAUAUCCAAAUUGAAUAUAAACACCCAAAAGGGACAAGUUGUAGCUGCUAAUAUAAACAAAAAUAGAGAACUAACCAUUUUUGAGCUCUUGACUAUGUCAUUAUCAACAGAUUUAUUCGUUGUUGUAUGGACUGUAGCCUCAUUGAGAACUGACUCAACCUCAGAUAAAGUGGAGUUCAACUUAAUUUCACCAACUUCACCUUCAGUCGUAUCCUCUAUCAUCACUAGCAUUUUUGAUGCAUUUAUGCUUUCUUCAUUGCUAUGUUCUUUGGAAGGCACAGAUUUUUGAGCAACUUCUUCACCAGCAUCAUCCUUUCCGCUUUCCUGGAACUCAAGAUUAUUAGGCAUUUCAAUAUUGGAGCAGGCUCCUAAAGAAGUAGAUUGAAUUUCAAUUUCACUUUCAAUGCUAUUUUCAGAAUCUGCUACUUGAGCACAAACCUCUCCCACCGCUAAGUCCAUCUUAGAUUCCAUAUUCAAAGUAAUACUUUCAAUUUUACCAAUUCUCUCACCAUUUUCCCCGGCACCACUAUUUUCUUCCUCCUCCAGAUUAACACUGUGAGAAACUUCGCUUUUGGAACUAAGCUCUAAAGAAGCUAAUUCAGUUCUAGUUUCACUUCCACUAGCAGGAGCUUCCAAUGGAGGAGAAGCCUUUUCUAAAUCAGGAACUAAAGCCAUCUUAGACUCCAUAUUCGAAGUAGUACACUCAAAUUUACCAAUUCUUUCACCUUUUUCCUCAGCACUAGUGUCUUCUUCCUCUUCCAACUUAACACUCUGGGGAUCUUCACUUUUGGAACCGGACUCUAAAGGAGCUGAUUCAGUUGUAAUUUCACUUUCAAUGGCAGAAGCUUCCAGUGGAGGAGAAGCCUUUUCUGUAUCAGCAACUAAAGCUAUCUUAGACUCCGUAUUCAAAAUUGUACACUCAAUUUUACCAAUUCCCUCACCUUCUUCCUCAGCACCAGUAUUUUCUUCCUUUUCCAACUUAACACUCUGGGGAACUUUACUUUUGGAACUGGACUCUGAAGGAGCUAAUGCAGUUGUAGUUUCACUUUCAAUAGCAAAAGCUUCCAGUGGAGGAGAAGCCUUUUCUGUAUCAGGAACUAAAGCCAUCUUAGACUCUGUAUUCAAAAUAGAACAUUCAAUUUUACCAAUUCCCUCACCUUUUUCCUCAGCACCAGCAUUUUCAUCCUCUUCCAACUUAACACUGUGGGGAACUUCACUUUUGGAACUGGACUCUGAAGGAGCUAAUUCAGUUGUAAUUUCACUUUCAAUAGCAGAAACUUCAAGUGGAAGCGCAGCCUUUUCUGUAUCAAGAACUAAAGCCAUCUUAGACUCUGUAUUCAAAAUAGUACACUCAAUUUUACCAAACCCCUCACCAUUUUCCUCAGCACCAGCGUUUUCUUCUUCUUCCAACUUAACACUGUGGGGAACUUCACUUUCCAAACCAGACUCUGAAGGAGCCGAUUCAGUUGUAAUUUCACUUCCAAUAUCAGAAGCUCCCAGUGGGGGAGAAACCUUUUCUAUAUCAGGAGCUAAAUCCAUCUCUGAUACCAUAUUCAGAGCAGUAUCCUCAGUUUUACCAUCAUUCUCACCACUUCCUUCAGAACCACCCUUAUUUGACUCCUGUAACUUAACACCAUGGGGCACUUCAACUUCGGAACCCAACUCUGGUGAACCUAAUAGAGUAGUAGUUUCACUUUCAACAACAGAAGCUGUCAAUGGAGUAGAAACCAUUUCUACAUGAUGAACUAAUUCCUGAUCUAAUGCCACAUUCAAUUUACUAGAACCCUCAGUUUUACUAAUGCACUCACCAUUUUCCUUGGGGACAACAUUAUUUUCUACUUUUACAACAUCCCCAAGCUCAUCAAGUUGAUCUUUAGUAUUUAUAUUCUUAGAAGAAUCAACUGAUUUUUUCUCAACCUUUCUGCCAUCACUGACAACAGAGGCAGGUUUCUCUUUAACAACUUCAGUUACUUUGGUUGCAUUUCGUCUUAGUUUUCUCUUAGGUUGAGAUUUAACCUGAAAAUUACGGCCAACUUUCUUCCUCAUAGGUUCCACAGCUGCAGCAUCUCCAUCAGAAACACCAACCGCUUUAAUACUGCUCUUAUCUACCUUGUCCAAAUCUUUGCCACCAACUUUGGCAACAACCUUAGCACUUUCAUCGGUUGUUUGCGUUUGAUCUUCAAUUAUUGCCAUUUCACUCGCAUUUCCAAACCGGAAGAUAACGCUGCCAUCAGAAUGCUCUGCACAUUUCACCAACGCUUACAAUUAUCCUAACGAACAAAAUUUAAUCUAAGCUUCUUUUACUUGAAAUUCACCAGUUACUAAAAAUGCAACACACUUUCAAACAUCAUAACAUUAUGUUGUUCUUAACAAUAGUUGAUUCAACAAACAGUAGAUUCGAAUUCGAUCAUUCGAGAGUAAACAAAAAAAAGAAAAGAAAAGAAAAGAAUUAAAGUGAUCAUUUUAAACGGCGUACCGGUUGCUGAAAUGAUAUCUACAUCAGCAGAAACGGAAUCGGAACUUGAGCACUUGGAAACGACGAACUGGUGAUUGAAUUUAAGUUUGGGAGGAGAGAAGCGAAGUGUGUGAAAAUGCAAUUGAGGGAAGCGGAAGCUCCAGAAGAGUGAGUUGUUGCAGCUGGGAAAACUCAUGGAGCGAGCUUCAAGAGAGGCGAAGAAGAAAGGAUCGGCAGCCAUUGCAUAAUUUAUACUACCAUUUUACAAAAGACUAAACGCAACGGUGAAAGCUUAUUUUAGAAUGAGUUUAAGCUUUAAAGCUGGGGAAUUCAUAGCUUAUUCUACUGUUCUUAGCGUGAUAUUAUGGAUAAGGAGAAUGAUUGAAGCGGGGAUCGGCUGUUGAUGACCAGGGGUUCAAAUCUACAGUUUUACACGUGUCAGAAGAAGAAAAUAUUAGUAGGAAAAAAAUUAACAAAAGAAAAAAAAAUUAGAGCACAUAUUUUUUCCCCACAUUUUCUUUCUGACGCCACAAAUAGUAGUGCCUAGUUGGGGGAUGUUGUUGCGAUUUUGGUGAUGAGGUCCCUUAUUCUCUGUAGAAAUGGCAACAGUGCAGAUCAAAAUUUCUUUUUGAGUAAAACAGUAAGAAUAAGUUAGAUAAUAUAUUACCGCCGGUUAAAAUUUUUAAGAUUACACGUGUUCAUAUGCUUUAAUCAUGAAUUAGUUAUAAACUAUCAUAAUUUUUAGUCACUUGUAAUUGUUUAUGGUAAAGAAAAAGAAAAUAUUUUUGUUUAUUUUUAAGAGGUUUUAUUUUUGUAAGAGUUUUUACUAACCUUUUAAUCUCAAUUUUGAAUUUUUAUUAAGUAUUCUAGUCUAAUUAUUUUGGAACAUGUGUUAAAUAAGUUUUCUCCUUGUGUUAUAUACCAAUAACCUAUGUAGCACUAAUAUUUUUUUUUUCUCAAUUUAGCCUUUAUUUUUUAGCAAAAUUUGACAUUAAUUUAAAAAUAGUCAAAUUUAACUAUUAAUAUUUUAAAAAGAGUUAGGAAUUACUCUUUUUUUUUAACUAAGACCUUAAAUUUUUAAACCAUUACAGCUCAAAUGGUAUCAUAUAUUUUUUAAAAUUUUUAUGAACUUUAUAUACAUAAUGAACUUUGUUGAAUAUUUUUAUCAUUUUUAAAUUAUUUGGCAACGUGACAUAUAAGAUAAAUACUAUCAUGUACACAUAGACUAGCACAUGGGUUGUCACAUUAAUAUCGUUAAAAAACAAUUUUUUAGUCAGUGUUUCCAUAAAAAAAAAGGUAUUUCAAAUUUUUUUUGAAUAGUUAAUGGUCAAAUUUAGCUAAAGAAAAGAAUAAAUACUAAACUGACAAAAGACGUAAAUAUUGAGGGAUGAAUUUAUCAUUGUACAUUUAAUUAAUGAAAUGUAACAUUAGUAAAAAUUUUAAUUUAUUAAACUAGUUUUUCAACCCACGCACGUUGAGUUCAUCAUUUUUGGGCUAAAUAGUUAAAAUUCAAAUGUUACGAUAUAUUCUAAGUUUUUGUACUCUCUCUAUAUUUGACAUUUAAUCCCCAUUUUUUAUUUUUAAGAAUUUUGUUUAUCUAUUUUUCGAAUUUAAAAAUUCAAGUCCAAUUGUUAACUUUGUUAAAUUUAUUGAUGUGACAUUCUAAAUAUUUUAGAAAAAGUACUUACUAGAUAAUCAUGUCGCAAAAAAUGACGUCAUAAUAGACUUGAAAUUAACAAAAAGUUUAACAAUGUUAACAAUUCUUUAAAUUUACAUUAACAUUUUAAUUAGAAUAAAGUAUUUAGAUAAACCAAUAGAAUUAUAAACAUUGAGUUACCAAAUUAUAUAAAAAAAAUCAAUUAUAAAGAUCAGAUCUCAAAUUUAGACGUAGUAUGGACACCAAAAUUGAUAUUUAACUUUUUUUUACAUAAUUAAAAAGUAAAAGGGUACCAAAAUUGAAAAUUCACUAGUAUAGUUAAAAAUAUAAAAAAAAUAAAAGUAAACAAUAUUCGGAGGUCAUAUGCUUCAAUAGGCUUAAAUAAGAGUUAAUAUGUUUUAGCAUACUUGAACCAGAGGCAAAUCCAUGCCUGCCCCUCUAAAAUGAAAAAUUGUUAUUUAAGCUUUUUAAAAUUUUUUAAAAAUUUUAAAUUAACAAAGGUAAAAUUUUCUUUUGACCCCUUAAAAUUAUAAAAAUUCAAUUUAAUCUUUUAAAAAUUAUAAAAAUAUAAACUAUAAAAAAUUAAAAAUUGUUCUAGUUUCCAUUGAGUUCAACCCUCAUUUUCCCGUAAAUAGAAGGCUUUAUCCAAUAGCAAAAAUUUAGCUGCAGUUGGUUGCGAAUUUCGAGCGCCCAGUUAAUCUGUUAUGCUCAUUUGAGCUAAUAAAUGGAGGUCUAGUUAUUUUGAAACUUCCAACAUAGAAUCUCAAAUUCUAUUUGUUAGGCAAUUCAUAUGAAAUCAAAGAUACUUACAUAUGUUAGGAGAAAAAAAAACACUAAGUACAGAGAUCGUUAAUCAAAUAAAAAAAAGAACAUAAUUGGUUAAAUGUAGAAGAACCAUGAGAGAGUAAUUUCAGCAAUGGCGAGCUAACUAGCUAAGGUGAAGAAGACAAAAGGCGAGUGAGUUCAUCAGAGAGUGGAGGCCUUGAAAGUGUUGUCAAAGACAGAACAAAAUCCUUUGGAACCAAACACUUUUCUUCUAUGUAAAGCUUUUCUUGUACCUUUGAAGAUGUUACAAUUUGCAUGCUUUCCUUGUCCUUGCGAUUCCCUUCCUUAUUUUCCUGCAUUUAUAAUUAAACCCCUUAAUUUGCUUAUUUUACCAAUCAUGUAAUGGUAAAAAUACCUCCCCAAUCCCUCUCAAUUGGUCCCUUCUUUUAAAAAAAGAGCAAUUUAAUCUUUGUCAAUUUUAAACAUUAACAACUAAAGACAAUUUUCGUCAAUAUAUCGUACAUAAUUUUGAUUGGUAAAACAGCACAUUUAGCCCUUGAUGUUUACAUGUUUUGUCAAUUUGAUCUUGGUUCUAAAAGAUUUAAUAAAUUUAGGCUCAACAUUUGCACAUAUAGGCAAAUGUUGUACACUAAAUUUGGGAUCACAUUGACAAAUUAAAUGUCUAAAAUUUGAGAGCUAAAUUUAUUAUUAUAACAAUCAAAAUUAUGUACAAUUGAUGAAAAACAUUAAUAUCCAAAAUAAUGUUCUUUAAUUGCUUACUUUUGAAAUUAAUAAAGAUUAAAUUACUAUAAUUUUUUUAAAGAAACCAAUAAUAUGAUUGAAAUUGAUAGAUAUCGGAAAGGUUUCUUAAGAAUGAAAAUCUAGGUUUCUAUAUACUUGGGGUAGAGGAAAUUGAAAUUUUCCUUUUUUUUUUAAUAAAUGAUGACAGUAAUCUAAUUACAAAAAUAAAAUAAAAGAAAAGAAAAGAAAAGAAAAAAAGAGAGUAAGAAAUAGCCGAGAAAGUUACUGGAAAGGAGUUCAUAAGUUGAAGGAUUCCAAGUUGAGCUUGUAAAUACUUGACAUAUUUAAAAGCAGCUUGAAGCAUUUCAGCAGUGUUCAUCUUAGUCCCACCAGGUACAAGCUUCCCAAGUUCUUGAGUCUUCUUAGUUAUCUUCCUCCGCCGCUCUCUCGCCGCAAUGCUUUGUACCGACACACACUUUUCAUCGCUAAUUUUCUUACAGUUUCCUACUGUGUGUGUUCCUUCCAAGUUAUAAACACCAUUCAUGCUAUGAGGGCAAGAAUUUAGAGCAACCCCAUCAAAGAAACCAGGCAUCAAACAAUGAUCUUCGAUGAGUUUGUGGCGUUUAGGGCAUGGAUAAGAGCUGAAGUAAUCGUAUGGGGUGAUUAAAGGGUCGUAAGGGAGUAAAGGGGCACUGUAGUUUUCAGGGUGAAGGAAAUUGUUGUUUAGGUCAAUGCAAGGAUCGAGAAAAGUUAAAGGGGGCUCAAAUGGUGGAUCACAGUAAUAUUGAAGAUGCUGUUGUUGUUGUUCAUGAUGAUCAUCAGCUUGAACUGCUUUUGUAAUUUGAUGAGUUGGUUCCGAGUUAAGAUUCUGAACAUCGGUUUCGCAGUUGGAGUAAUAUGAACUUAAAGCCAUGGUAGUUGUUGAAAAGGAAAACAAGCAAAACCAGAAAUGCAAAUGGGAAAACAAUUACAAGGAAACUUAGAAAAGGGAUUUCAAGGUGGAAAAUUGUCAAAAGUUUCAGUGGUUCUUGACCUGUCGAGACUGGAGACACAAAGAGAUUUUUUAUUUUUAGAAGACAGAUACUUGAUAAAAUCACGAAAAAAUAAUGAAAAAAAAAAACUGAAUGUGAGAGAAAGAGAGUGGUAGGUUGAGAUAAAAUAGGAAAGAUGGGUUAAGGUAGUUAACUGUCUCCUAAAAACGCUAGGGUUCUUUUCCCCCUUCCUAUUAAAGAAACUGAAAAACAAAGAUCCUUUUCCACGCUUUGGUGGCGGCUGCCAUGCAUACUCGUUGGAUUCAUUUAUUGGAUUAAUGUACCCUUUAAUACUUUAAUUUACUUGUAUUUUUUUAAUCAAAUUUGAAUAUGAUUUUAAUAUUUAAUUUGGUACCUACCUAAACCAAACAGAAUCAUGUAAUUAAAGAAUGUUUGACAUAUGUGUUCUAAUAGAAAGACGUAAGUAUUAGGAUAAAAAAAAUUAAGCAUCAAAUUAAACGUUGAAGCCAAAAUUAAGUACUUAAUUGAAGCAAAAAAUAAUUCAACUAUCAAAUUUUUAAAAAAAAAUCCAAGGUAUUAAAUUAUAUUCAAGUAUCAAAUUUAAAAAAAAAAAAACUCAGGUACCAAAUAGUUCGUAAGUUUUAGAUUUAGUUCUUUUACUUUAAUUUUGUAAAUUUUAGUUCAUGUAUUUUUCGAAUUGGUCAAUUUUAGUUUGUGUCCUUUUCAAAAUUUGAAAUUUCAAUCCUGACCCAAAUAGUAAUAGUUAAAUUUAUUUGGAUAAAUUAUGUUAUCAAUUAUGUACUAAGCAUAAAGUUGUUCAAUAAUUCAUGUUUUUUAAUUGCAUCAUUUUUAAUUCAUAUAAUUUUUCGAAUUUUAGCCUUAACACAAACGACAAUAGUUAAAUUUAUUAACCAAAUUUCAUUUUAGUAAUAUGUAGAAAUAAAAAAAAAUACAUUUUACUACAUAUGAUAAUAUGUUUGUCGAAUCAUAUUUUGAAAAAAAAAACUUACCGAAUUUAAUAUUUAUUAGUUAGUAUUAAAAUAUUAAAUUUAAAAAAAUAUAAAAACUAAAAAUGAAGAGAUGAAAAUAAAGAGAAUAAACUCAUGAUAUAGGAAAGCACAAUUUAAUUUUGAUUUUAUUCAUCAAUCCAGUCCUUUUUUUAUAACCAUCGUAAAAACUUGGAGCCCUUUGUAGCUUCACCACGGCAGUGUUGUAGUUGGGUUUUUUUUUUCUUUUACUUGAAAAUUAGAUCUAUUUUGAUCUUUAAAUUUAAAGUUUGUCAAGAUUUGAUGAUGUGACCAGUAUUAUUGGAACAAGAUUAGAUUGGACGAAUAAAAAAUUGAUUGAUAUAAGGUUUGAAACUAAGGGGUUAAACUAAUUGACUGAAAAACUGCUUGAAAUUGAUAAAAAUCGAAAACUAGAAUAAAUAUAAACAGUUGAACAAGUUGAAUCGAUUUAAUAAUAUUUUUAGAUUUUUAUGAAUUUUUAUUAUUUAUUUAAUUGUUCUUAGUCUGGCGGUCAAACCGAUUGAACUAGUUGAAUUGGGAACAUGUUUAAUUUGUUCAACAACUUGUCUUUAUUAAUUGAAUAUGACAUUCUGAGAUUGUACUAUAUCAUCGUUGGAAAAUUAAUAAGAAUAGUUACCAAAGUGUACCUAGUUGUCAAGUUAAGAGGCCAAAAAUUAUAUUAUCCCUUGCUAAAAGUAGUGUAUGAAUUUAUAUUAUAAAAUUGUUUGAUAUAUAUUUCGUAAAAAUUAAGCAUGAAUAGAAUUAUUUUGUUUGAUAGUAGUAAAUCUUGGAUUUUUGAAAAUUCAUUUUUAUUAUUAUUUUAAUCUUAUUAAUAUGAUAUUAUUUAUUUUAUUUUGAAUCGUUUUGGACAAAGCUAAAAAGACAAAAUUUGAAUAUUUUAAUUUUUAAUAAAAUGAAGAUUUAAUUUAUUUCAAAAAUAAUAUUCUUAAUAUUGUUCACAUUAAGUUAUAAGUAGUUAUCAAACAUAAUUAAAAAAAUUAUUGGUGAAAUUUUUAAUAGUUUAUUAGACACACUCUAUGUUAAAAUAUGCUAUAGGUCCUUGUACUUUUCAUAAAUUUGAAAUUUAGUCUUUGUACUUUUAUUUCAAGAAAACUUUACUUUUUAGAUCUCAAAAUUUAGGUUUAACUGUUAACAAUGUCAUUUUUUUUGUUAAAUUUAUUGGUGUAAUAUUUUAAAAUAAAAAAAUAUUUACUUAAUACUCAUGUAAUUAAAAAAUAACAUUAUAAUAAACUUAAAUUUAACUAAAUAAUUUUAGCAGAAUUAACAAUUUAACCUUAAUUUUAAAAUAUAAAAAAUAUAAAAACUGAACCCCUAAUUUAUAAAAAUGUAAAAACUUGCUGCAUAUUUUAAACACAGAAUUAAAUUAUUUGAAAUUUCCCAUUUUAUAUUUUUAUUUUUUGGGGUUUACCAUGAAAAAACCAGUCAUUGAGAAAGAUGUUUUAGAGAAAUAGGGAUUAAACUGACAUGCAAUUUUUUUUUUGAAAAUAACUGACCUGCAAGUUUUAUUUAUGACGACAAUGACCAAAGACUUCAUAAAUUCAAAGCAUCCAAUAAAAGAAAAAAAAUAAAAAUGAUCCAUAUAUGCGAUAUUUAAUAUAUAGACAAUGAAUAUCACAUAUUAAAAAUAAUUAUUUGCUCAAAAAAAUAAUUAUUAUGUUUAUUUUCAAUAAUUAUGAAAACAGUCGACACCUAGUGGCAAAUUGAUUUAUGAUACUCUUACAUGUUACAUUUUUAUAUAAAUUUGAUAAAAAAAUAAUAAUGUACAAACAUGACAGCUUAGAUCUUAAAUCUUAAAUUUGAGAUCUUAAAUUUGUGAAUUAUUAUUAUAAUUAUAAUUAAUGAUUAUUAAAUUAUAUUUAAAUAAAAUUAUUAAUAUUUAUUUAUAAAUUUUUUACAAUUUUAUUUAAUUUAAUUUAAUGAUGAUAUGUUUUCUAACUGCAUUAAAUAUUUGUUGGUAUAAAUAAUUAUUAAUAAAUUAUAAGAAAAUCACCUAUUAAAAAAUAAUAAUAUGUAUUUUUAAUAAACUUAAAAUUAUCAUUAAUUUAUUACCAUAUGUUAUAACAUAAUUCACUCAAUAAUAUAUAAAUUACAAUAUAUUCAUUAUAAUUAUAAAUUACAAUAUAUUAAAUACAAACAUAUAUUUUUAUAAUUACUAUUAUUGUUGGGGGAAGGUUAUUAUUAUAUGGAGGAAAACAGGACCCACAAGGGUAAAUCAUAUCCAGGAAUCAAAGGAUCAAAAACAAGAAGAGGCCAAUACACGUUCCACGUGGUUGGGAGCAACAUAGAGAUGUAGAUUGACCUUAACUCCCCAUUGGUCCGAAAUCUAUCCUCCUUACUCCCUUAGAUUUCCUCUUAAGAUUUCAUCAUCCUACUUGUCUUUCUACAAAUCCUUUGAUUCCCACCAUUUUCCACCACAAGCGUGUCCAGAAGGUUCAGAGAUUUUAGAGAGAACAAACAACAAUGGCUGCUACAUCUGGGGCUGUACUAAAUGGAUUAGGCUCUUCAUUUCUUUGUGGGGGAAAGAGGAGCCAAGCCCUUUUGGGUGCCAGCAUUGGGGCCAAAGGCUCGCCCUCCCCUACUGCUGGAACUAGAAAGUUGAUCGUUGUGGCAGCCGCCGCACCUAAAAAGUCUUGGAUCCCUGCUGUUAGAGGUGGUGGCAACUUCAUUGACCCUGAAUGGCUCGAUGGAUCGUAUGUGUUCCUUUUCCUUUUAAAUCUCCCCUUUCCCUUGUUUUAGUCUUUGUGGUUUGCAGUUCUUAGUAUAAAGUUUGCUUUUUCAGGCUCCCUGGAGACUACGGAUUUGACCCACUAGGUCUUGGAAAAGACCCAGCAUUCCUCAAAUGGUACCGAGAAGCUGAGCUGAUCCAUGGACGUUGGGCCAUGGCUGCUGUCGUCGGCAUCUUCGUCGGCCAAGCUUGGAGUGGCAUUCCAUGGUUCGAGGCAGGAGCUGACCCAGGUGCGAUAGCUCCAUUCUCUUUCGGCUCACUCCUUGGUACUCAGCUCAUCCUUAUGGGUUGGGUUGAAAGCAAGCGGUGGGUUGAUUUCUUCAACCCCCAAUCACAAUCAGUGGAAUGGGCAACUCCAUGGUCUAAGACCGCUGAGAACUUCGCCAACGCCACAGGUGAGCAAGGGUACCCAGGAGGCAAGUUCUUUGACCCAUUGGGGCUAGCAGGAACCAUCCAGAAUGGGGUUUACGUCCCUGAUUUUGACAAGCUCGAGAGACUUAAGCUUGCUGAGAUUAAGCAUGCUAGAAUUGCGAUGUUAGCCAUGUUGAUUUUCUACUUUGAGGCUGGCCAAGGAAAGACACCCCUUGGUGCUCUUGGAUUGUAAAAGAAAACUUUAAGGAUCUGUUUGGAUGUAGAUAACUGAGUUAUGUCUUGGACGUAAGGAGAGUUGAGCAAGAAAAAAACUGGAAAUGGUGUUUGUUGAGCUGAUGAGUUCCCUCAAUAGUUAAAAAUUCUAAAGUAAAAUAUCUGAUGUUCAUUGAUUAAAUACAGAUUCUGUCUACUGAUGUAGUAUACUAUCAUUUCCAUGGAAUUUCUCAGACAUAAUGAAAGGUGAAUUUGCUAAAAAUUAAAGAGAACAAAUCAGGAACCAUCUGGUAAUAAAUAUUCAUGGCAAAAAAAGAAAGAUAUUUGUUAGUUUCUCAUGGAAAUUACUGAGUUCCAAUUGAUCUAGACAUAAAAAUCUUAAAAUUUUGGCAAAAAAUAAAAAAUAAAAAAAACUUAGAAAUAAAAAUGUGUGCCAACAUGCUAUCCGUCUAAUUAUAAAAUGGUUCUUCUGAUUGUUAGAUCCAAAAUUGAUAAUUGCAAGUAGAAACUUAGUAGUGACUAACUGCUUCAAGCUCCAAUGAAAAAUAAAGCACAAAAAUAAUCAACACUAGAUAUGUUUAAGCAAUUUUGUUUCUUACAUGUGUGUAGUAAUUUUAUAUAGAGAGGUAAUUCACUAUCUUAACAUUUUGUACAAUGAGUGAUUAAAGUACUAACACCAAUUAAAUUAGCAACCUCACUUUUGUUCUUAAGAUUUAAAUAUUCUAAAUUUUCCCUCUCAAAACUUAGGACAUCAACCAAUUAGCUUACUUGAUUACUUACCCAAUACACAUUAAGAAACAAAUUCUAAAUAACAAAAUAAGUACUGAAAUUCUCCCCAAGCGUUUCAAUGUAUAAGAUUUUAAGGCUUGUUAAGAUAAAUAUUAAUUACAAUCAAAUUCCCAUCAAAAUAAUAAGAUAAUCAGCAUAAAUAAUAUCUUCAAUGUGACUAGGAUAAGUCUUCAAAUUUUCAGGAUAUGUUAUCAAGUUACUCGGCUCAGCUUCCUCAAAAUAUAAAAGUUAAUUUGCUUGAUCUAAUCCAAAUCAAUCUUUAAGAUAUAUUGCUAUGAAUAAUUUGAAUACCAAAUAUGGGCUAAAAACAUCCAAAGUAACAACUAAAAUAAAAGCACAAGAAUUUUUGUUGCCAAAAUUUGUUAAAUUAAACAUGAUAAUUUUUUUGAACAAGUAAUGUCUAAACUAAUUUACACUGUUCAAGGCAUUGCUCAAAAACUACCUCAACAAUCUCCACGUAUUAAACACCAAAUCCGAAUGCCCUCUUGAGAAACUCCCCUUUAAUCAAAAUGCACCGGGCCUGAGAAUGAACACUAAAAUACCGCAGACUCCCCCAUCUUUUAUUUGUAUUUUAAAAUAUAAAAAUCUUGGUCAAAGGUCAAACUUCCUUUUUGUGUGACCUUAAUUUAAUUUAAUUUAAUUUAGAAAUUUUUUUUCAAAGGCUUAAAAUCAUCUCAUCACCACACAUUCUCUAUUAAACUAUAAAAAAAUGUGUCAAAUGACAAAAAUGCUCAUGAUGGGCAGAAUGAUUUUCACCCCUUGGGUCCAAAACUAGAAAAAUGACUUAAAAAUGUGAUCACAUGACCUUCCUAGGAUUUAAAUCCUAAAAAUUUCAAAUAAAUCAAAUUUCUCAUAUAGCAUUUCACAUAGAUAAUCAAAGGAAUCUGGAAUGUUAGAGGAAAAAAUAUUAAAAGGAAAGAUUUGAUUAAUUCCUAGCUUUGUAUUCAUUGGGAGUUAUUAGAGUAAUGUACAGGGUAGUGAUUUGUUGCACAUGAAAGUCGUAAUGUAGCACAACUUUGCUUCUGGGUAGUGAAAGAAAACAUUUAGAGAAAAAAAAAAGAGUAAACUUAAGAUUGGCAAAAAAAAAAAUUAAGAUUGGCAAAAAAAAAAAAAUUUCUUUUGCAACGAGGAGGGAAAAUAUGAACAUGUUUUCAACAUGCACUUUGCCCCAUUAUUUGUAGUUAUGAUUUUUCUUUUUGGACAAAUUUGCCUAAUUAGUUAAUUGGUUGGCCAAGAGAGACCACCAACUCCACUUGUAGCCAUUUUUUUUUUAAUUCAACAAGGCUUAAUAUAAAUAUAGAUUACUAUAAAUAUCAAUCCAAUUUGUAAAAAUACAUUAUCCUAUGAAAUUAGGAGGAUUCGCUUUAAAAUUUUAAAAGAUUUAUAAUUUCCUAAUAAAUAAAAAAUAAUUAAUAACUCUUAUAAAGUAUUUUUUGAAAAAUAAUUUUUUAUAUAAAACUUUUAAGUUUUUUUUCACUAUUUAAAAUAUAAAAUAUUUUUUACAUUAUAAAAAUUAAAAUUAAUUAUAAAUUAAAUAAACAAUAGAAUUCCAUUCGGUUUGAUUAUUUUUAAAUUUAAAUUAGUUUUUAAUUUCUCAAUUAUUUUUUACUCAGCCUAAAAAUAUUAAAUAAAUAUGUACGAUAAUUAAAUUUUUAGAAAUUCAUAUCACAUUUUUUAUUUUUAAAUUUUGAACUUAAAUUCUUUUUCUAAGAGAAUAAGUAUUUUUUUAUAGAAUUUUUUUUGCUUUAUCAAGAAAUUAUUAAUGAUUAAGUACUUAUAGAAUUAAUUUCUUUACGUUGGAGUAUAAAUAUGGAGAAUAUAGCAGCCACGCAGGGAGCCAUGUCGCGAAUUUUCUCGACAUUACAUGCGUUGCAUGUCGUAUGGAUACCCAUCGAAUUAAUUAACAUAGACAAAAUCCAUAUCUUUUCAAAACUAAAAGGUCAGCAAUUCCAGCUAUAAACAAAUUAGGCUGCUUUUAAGCAAUCUCACUUAGGGCAGUUCUUUAUUCCAUUUGAGAUGGAUUUAUACAAGUAUUUUUUCUCUAAAAGCAGUAAAGAACAGCUAACAGUGGUAAACUUUUUUUUGACUUAAAUUAAGUACUUUUAGCUAGUUCUAGGAAAAAUUAGCUUUUUUCAGCCAAAAAGUAGUUUUGACUAUUAAUUUACCUUUUUAACCUUACGAUUUUUACAUGUUACAAGAUAUUUUUUUCACCUUUUCUCUUUUGUCUUCUUUUUUUUUUGAACUUUAUUUUUCCUCUGGUUUGUUCCUCUUCUCAGUACCAGUAAGUUUUAUCUUUUUUGCUUCCAUUCUUCUGUCUUUGAUUUUAUGAAAUAAUUAUGAAAUUUAAUAAAUAAUUAAUAUUAAUUACUUAGAAAUAUUUAAAAUUAAUAUUAUAGAUUAAAAUAUUAACAAUAAGUUAUAAUAAAUUAUUUUUUAUAUUUUUGCUAAAAUAUCAUAAUAUUAAUUAAUUUAAAUAUUAUUUAAAUACAUAUUUGUUACUUUAUAGUAUCAUGUCUAAAAUAAACAUUUUACUUUUCAAAAACACUUUUUGACAGCAAUACCAAACAAUUAAAUUUUUCAAAAAUACUUCUUAAAAGCACUUUUCAAAAAUAUUUUUCCACGGCACUUCUCAAAAGCAUUCGCAGCCCUUAAUAAAUUGAUAUAGACACACACAUAUCUGAUUGUAUAAAUCAAGUGCUUCCCUUCGAUCAGUCACUUGCGUAUCUAUCCAUAAACACGUAUCUGAUUGUAUUAUUUUGAAUGAAGAGCUUUUACUUUUUAUCAGCUUACGCUGAUAAAAACAUCAAAUUAUGUUUGGUUUAAUUAACUUUAGAACAAACUUUGCGGAUUUCACCCACAGUGCCUGUCUUCACUUCAAUGUUACUCAUCUUCACCAUGGACCUUCCAAAUUCAAUGUUAAAGGUCAAUCCAAGUAAGCCUCUAAUGCCCAAGAAUCGUUGGACAAAGGUCUUGGUAGAAGCAUCAGUCCAUAACCUUUGAUCAGAUUCCAGUAUUCCCUUCCCAUCUCUCAAGUUGGCAAAGAAAGAGUUAUCAAAUCUGUUAACGCUGCCUGUGUCCAAUCCAAUCCUCCUUGACCCAUCACCGUUCUGCGGACACAGCGCUUGAAGCUGGGAAACGAAUGCGGCGGUGAUAGAAGGGUCGGCUCCGUUUCCGGUCGUGGUGAAGUUGUAAAGCCUGUAUCUGAAGAAUUGGCAGGCUGUAGUACCGAUCGUGUGGCCUCCUGGAGUACAUAAAAUUAAUGCAUUGAAUUUCAUCAGUUACAGUGUGAAAUUUUUAAUUAAGGGUUAAAUUCGAAUGAAAUAGAAACCUAAAUGCUUACCAACAAGGGUGACAAGAUCUUGAGUAUUGAGACCCUUUGCUGCAAAUUUUUGCUUCUGCACAUCGACUGAGUCACGGAAGCCUGGCAAAUUGGCCGCAUCAGAAGCCUGUGAAACCGUUCCAUCUCGGCGGCCUGUCGGCACUGCCCAGCUGGCUCCACUGCUCUGCAUCAUACAUUAUUAACCAAUAAUUAAACUACGUAUAAUCCUUAUUAAUUCUUUCAUCCGAAACGAAGAUCAAAGGAACAUAUAGUUACCAGAACUACAGAAUCACGAGCAGCGAGGGCUAGGAUAUCAGCACACGAAACAACUCCAGGGCAUGCAGCUUCAAGCUGAGUCUUGGCAUCAUCAAUGACUUCGUAACCUCUCAACAAGAGGUUCGGUGGGGCGGUUUUCUCAGUGCCAGGUCCAUCAAUAAGGAUGGAAGCAUCGCAUCCAUGGACAAAGCAGUCGUGGAAAUGCAUACGGAGCAAACCAGGAGCAAUAGUGGGAUCAGACCCGAAAUGGGAUUGAACCGUCGACCUCACGAUGGACUCAACUCGAGGACAUGAAGUUGAGUAGAACCCAACCCUGGUGCCCUGGCUUUCCACCAAGCUGACAGCUAUGGCAAGCAAUAGGGUAACUAAAAGGACAUUUUGGCUGAAACAACUGACAUCCAUUGUUGUAAGAGACGAUAUACUUGUCUAAGAGCUUAUAAAAAACCUUGAUUAAGAUAAUGUCUGAGAGAUGAGGCUUUUGAUUCAGGAUUGACAAUUGAGUAGUACUUAUAUAGGCAAAAGAAAGUCAGCUAUACUUUUACAGCUACUGUGUAUACGAGAGAGAGAUUCAAAAUGGAUCAGCUAAGACUUUGGGUUUUGGGGUACAUGCCAAAUGUAAAGCCAAAAGAAGCUUACUUUCUCUCGCAUUAUCAACUUGCAUGCAUGUGAGUCCCAUAUCACUAUUUUUCCUACCUAGUGACAAAGUCGUCGAUCACGAAUGGGAUUUGAGUAGUGUUUAUCUAAUUUAUUUCCCUUUGACUUGGACUGCUUCGCAGAUAGGCAAGGAAUCAUUUAAAUGGUUAAUUAGUAAACACAAUACUUUGCAAGAGUAAGUGACCAAAGUUAUAUUAAUUAAAUGGUUAAAUGAUAACAUUUAAAAACUUUAAAGUGGAUUCCACUGUAUGGUGCUAAUUAGGUGUUGGUUUAUGAAUAGUUUCUUCGUCCAAGAAAGGAAUAGUUCCAUGAAUGGAUCAAAAUGAACUACUCGAAAGAGAGAUGAAAUGACAAACUACUCUCUUGCACCUUUUAUCAAUUAGCGUUCCAUCUUUUUAUCCUUCUUCUUUUUAUGAUUUUAGUUGAUUAAGUUAAAAUUAAUGUUAAAGUUCUACCCAAAUUUUUAUUAAAAUAAAAUAUAUGUAGUAAGAUGGGGAUUCAUGAGGGCGAAGGUCAAGGGCUGGAGAACUUGUCCAUUAAGAAUUCGGGUUAAGAUAGUACGGUACAGGCUGCACAAGAAGAAUCUGUAUAGAAGUUUACUUCAUCUAUUUGAUAUUGAUUUGAAUAAGGUGUUUUAACAUUAUUGUAUUAUUUCGAUUAGAUGUUGAUUAGAAUAAUAUUUUCUAAACCUAUAAAUAGAUGCACUCUAUACUCCUUAUAAUUAUUUGAAUUCGACAUAGUGAAAUUUUUUUCUCUACUUGUAAUUUUUUUCUAAAAAGGUUUCUACUUAAAAUCUAUAUGUUCUAUUUUUCUUUUCUUUUUUAUGAUAUAUUGUCAUUAUUGAUAUUUUAUUUUGUCAAAUAUGCCAUUAAAACAUUUCAAAUGUAAUUCACUUAUUGUAUACAAUUGUUUUGUAAGAUAUAGCGUUCAACAAUGUAUUUAAAAUAGUCAGCUUUUUUGUAAAUAAAUAAACUAUAUAUAAUUUUAGUUGUCUUCGGCUUUUAGCUAAUUAUAUGUUAAAGUGGGAUUAAGUAGAGUUGGUGAGACAUGAUAAAACCCAAGCGGCAAAACGCGUGACAGAAUGAUGAUGACGAAGUUUAAUUUGUCUUGGCCUUCUGAUUUACUUACUAAUAGGGUGGCAUUGACGUUGACGUUCCUCUUUUCGGCUGCCUCAAAGCUAUCUUUUUCCCAUUCUCCUUUCCUUUUUUUUUUUUUAAUAUCUUGAAAUGGUUUCUCUCGCUCGAACGCGUUUCAUGCACUACAUGGAAUCAACGUGUUCAUACUAUUAAGUGUUUUUUUUCUUUUUUAAUUAUUAUCAAAGAAACUAUGAUGGUGGAUUUCAACCUAAAAUAUAUUUACGUGAAUCAAAUAUUAAUUUAAUUAAAAAAUUAAAAUCUUUUGAGAUAAAUAAAUAUUAUUAUGAGGUAAUUUUCAUUCUUUAUACAAAAUUUAUAUCAAAAUAUUUUAAAAUUUAAUAUCUGGAGUUUCUUUUUGUAUAUCAUAUGGAUGAUUCAAUCUGCAAGGACCAUGAUUGAGAAUUGUUUAAUCGUCUUUCUUCGAGUGAGAGGUAAAAUAUAAUUAACUUGAACUCGGGACACCUAUUUGAAAUCUCAUAUUUGCUUUUUGUGAAAAAAUACCAAUCGAAGUGGAGAGUUUCUUCAAACAACAAGGAACUGGGGCAACUAUUCAAUCAAAUGAUAUUGAGCAUGUUUCCCAUCUCUUCUCGAGAGGCAAGUGGGCUAUUUCGUUACAAAAUUGUGCUCAAUUUCAUAUGUGGCAAUUCCGCCAAGAUCUCUUCGUUAGUUGGGGGAAGAAUCCACACGAAUCGGAUAUUUUGUGGAACACAUUGAGAGAGAAUUGGAUUUGGUUAGACAAUAUAUGGUUGGUAAACAGGGAUCGAUUUUUUAGCAAGUACGGAAUGUAUCGUCAAAUAUUCAAUAUGAUUCCACAAGAUUUAGUUUCAUUCAAGUAACGAAUUCUCACCAAUCUAAUCUGUUUCGUUAUUCUAAGUGGUUAUUCUAUUUUGGGGAAUGAAGAACUUCUUAUUCUUAACUCUUGGGUUCAAGAAUUCCUAUAUAAUUUAAGCAACACAAUAAAAGCUUUUUCUAUUCUUUUAUUAAUAGAUUUAUGUAUAGGAUUUCAUUCGCCCCCAGUUGGGAACUAAUGAUUGGCUCUAUCUAUAAAGAUUUUGGAUGUGCUUAUAAUGAUCUAAUUAUAUCUAGUCUUGUUCCUACCUUUACAGUCAUUCUAGAUACAAAUUUUAAAUAAUAGAUCUUUCGUUAUUUAAAUCGUGUAUAUCUGUCACUUGUAGUUAUUUAUCAUUCAAUGAAAGAAUGAAAAAGGAUUCACGGAUUCAAUUAUCAUCUUUCUUACUUUCUAGAUAAGCAAAGCAUGUAAAGUCGUACUUACUUUACUCUUUCUACCCAUCAGGAGAAUACAAUUUCUCCUCUAUUUCAGCCAUUUUUUUCAAUUUUUAGUAAAAGAAAAUAGCGGAAUCGUGGCUAAGGAACUAUACUUGUGACCUACCUAAUUUUAUUAUAGAAAUUUUUGGGAUCAAUGAUUGGACCAUGCAAACUAGAAAUACAAAGAAUUAAUAUUUAGAUUUAUAGAAAUACUUAAACUUAUAAAUAGAGGCAUGUUCACCUGUUAGAUAGAGGCAAAGUAGAUUUAAUUAUGAGUCGGGCCAUUCACUUAUGCCCAAAGGUCCGUCUGGAAAGUGGGAGGGUUUGGAAAAAAAUAUAGGUUUGGACAAAAAAUAAGGCCCAUUUUCUAAAUUGGUUGGGCUUCGGGUAAGAUUUUUUUUUUGUCCAACCCCACCCGAAUCUGCCUAAAGUUUUUUUCCUGCUGUUGUUUGCUAUUGUUUUGUUGCUGUUUUACUAUUAUGUUACUACUAUUUUGUUAUUAUUUGGAUAUUGUAUAACUCUUAUUUUAUUAUUAAUUUUUCUACUAUUUUAGAGGCAUCUGCUUUGCUAAGUUCCAACUGUUAUUUAAGUAUAAAGACUUUUUUAAUGUAUUUUCAAUUUUUGGGGAAACAUUUAUUUUAAUGUUUUUAGUAUACUUGAUAUAUUAUAUUUAUUAAAUUUGUUUUUAUAUAAAAAAUAAUAUAAAAAAAUUUAAUACGACCGGGUCGGGUUUAACAUUUUUAUCUGGGUCGAGCUUGAACAAAAAUUUAGGCCCAUUUUUUUUGGCUCAAGUCCAAAAACAAGCCUAAAUUUCUGCAUCAGCUUGGCACUGUCUGGUCCAUGAUCAAGUCUAAGUCGAAGCCAAAAAAAUUUUUUUGGAAGGGCCGAAAUUAAAUUUUAUAUUCUUAUGAUAGUAAAAAAGCAAUUUUACCAUUUUAAUAGCCUAUAUCUUUAUAAUUUGUAAAGGAUUAAAUCAAAUUUUUAUCAUUUUGCAAGGCUAAACUGUAAUUUUACCAUUAUUAAUUUAAAAUUUUAUAAAUUAUAAAUAGACCUAAACACACAAAAAUUCAUUUUAGGGGGGCCCUACCAACCCCUAGCACUGCCACUGGUUAUAGAUAUUGGGAGCGGGUUAAACUAUUUGAUAAGUCUUACCAUAAUAGACUUGUUUAAAGGUUGUGUUAUUCGUCUAAACUCAAAGAGUUUAGUUCAAUAUUUGAAAAAGUUGGACACAAAUAUUAGUCCCACAAAUGAGCUUCGACAAGAAAACUAGGCAUGUUGCAAAUAUAGAUCGGGUUUGGACUCCAACAUCCAUAGCCCGAGCUUUUCUCAAACCGUUUUUAAUAUUGUCAUAUGUUGUUUUAUUUUUAUAUAUUAUGUAAUAUAUAUCACAUAAAAUUAAAUCUAUAAUAUCAUAAAAUACUAUAAUGUAAGCAUAAAAAAUAUGUUAAGUUAUUGAUUACUAAAAUAAAAGAAAAACAUAUACAAAUAUUACAUAUUAAAUUAAAAAUAAUAUAAAUUAUUUUUAUAUGUCAGACCUAAAACAAACUUAGAUUAAUUAUUUAUUAAUAUGGAUGACUUUAAUCAAAAUCUAAGAUCCAUAUUUUAAGUCAAAUUAAGCUUGAACAAUCAUAUUAAUUAAAUACAUAUAACUUAUAAUAGGUUGAAAUUGUUAAAUUAAUUUUAUUUUUAAAAAUUAUAUUUUUUUAAAAAAAUAAAAUAUUCAAAUUAUCAUAUUUUACUUUUAUCAAAUAAUAUAAUUAUAUUUUUAAUUAAUCUUUACUAUUUUAUAAAAAAAUUGAAAAAAAAAGUUUUUUUAUAUGAAAAAAAAGUGUACAAAAGAAAUAACAUGUAUACUUUUGUAUAUAGUGUUUUUCUUUUGACCUGAAAAUGUGAGUGACUUAAAUAGUAUAUCGUUUCUUGAGAAAAAGUAUUUCAUUGAAAAAAUGAUUUUUUUUACAAGUUAGGCUAAUGUAAUCUAUAUUAACAAUGCUAUCAAGAAAUCCUAACUCGAGUUGGUGACAACUUUAAUUAAUUUAUUCUUAACCACAGACAUAGAAUCUUAUAUAAAAUUUAAUAAUGGAUCGAUGAUAAUUCAUACAAUGCAUCGAGAGUUGUGUAAGGUAAUUUUGGAGGUUUAAGAAGAGUAUAGAAAUUUUCUUUUUUUUGGGUCUAAAUAGCAUACAGAAUUUAUAUGCUCUGAUAUGUGUAAACGGGCCAAUUUGCCCGGCCGUUAUAAACAAAAAAAUAAAUAUAAAAUCCAAACCGUAUAACAGUCCAAAUUCCAAAAUUAUUACAAUGACCCAUAGCCCAUUUACAAAUAAACCCAGACCCAAAGUUACAAGGCCCAAAUGGCCCAAAAGACUUUAGAAACAAAACCCUAGGGUUUCUCUCCCUUGCACUGUAGCCUUCAGCCGCCGUACAGCCCCAACGCCGCUCGUGCCUCCACGUCAAUAGGCCGUACGCCACCCUCACGCCUAGUGCCAGCACAUGCUCCGUACCUGCAAAAGAAAACAAGAAAACAGCAGCGGAGUAGCAGCCAAUAGGAGAACAAAAAUUGUUGUUUUUUCUUUUGAUUAUUCGGCUAUAAAGCCUUUUAUUUUUCGAUUGUAAUGGCCCUUUUUUACGCACACGGAGUGAAUAGAGAAAAAAGCAGAAAUCACAAAUCAAAAGGUGAUUUUCAAGUUUUAUCCUUUUGUCUUUCUUCUCAUUUUCUUGUUAUUUUAGCAUAAAAGAAAGAAACAUUUGAAACGACACCAAUGAAGUCCCGAAUAUCUCAGAAAUAUUGAGAUACGGACGACGGUCGGAUGGUAUUAAGUUUUUUUUUACAUUCGGUUUCAUCCUUCUUAAAUGAACAGUAUUAGAUUUAGGUUUUUUUUUUAAAGAAAAGAGAAAGAAAAAAAUAAAAUAGCAUACCUGGUUUCCUCGCAUGGUACCGUCGUCGGUGGAAUCUGGUCGCUGCUAGUGCAUUGUAGGCCACCGAAUGAAAUGGUGGAUCGGCGGUCGCUGGAAUGAGCCUUAACAAAUCAAUUUAGGGGCUGUAAAUUAGGGUUAAAAUGUUGGCUGCUUUUGGAAAAAGGAAAUAUAAAAGGGUUUUAAAUAACCUAUUAAUGAAAACGGCGCCGUUUGUAACAAUGAGGGUCCGCGCGUCAACCCGGAUAGCAGGUCGGAUCCGCGCCUUUUCAUUCGAAAUGGGGAAUUUGCGCGUUGAGUCCUUCCAUCUGCGCGAGCCUUCAAAUUGCGCCUUAUUCGUUUUGCCUUGUUUUUUUUUAAAUUAGCUCGUUAAUUUGUGCGCGUUUGCAUAC
rnacentral:lncRNA from 1 species